rnacentral:lncRNA from 1 species
UCCGAAGAUUAAAUUGAGUAUUCAUUCUAGCUGGCCUAAGUUAUGGCAAUUUAUUUAUAUUUGUUGAAAACCUCAUUCAUCACAUAUGUAUCCAUAGUAAUUUCUACAAUUUCCGCUGUACAGCGGUCAUAGACUCGUAGACUCGUAGUAUCACAGGAUGUCUUAGUUAUGGCCAUGGAAGCUGAAUCCUUGCUGACCAACUCAUCACAAGGAAACCAAUAUUUCCAGAAAAGAUCUAAAUUCGCCGUAAAAAGGAUACUUCAAGAACUUCUUGUGCAGUGAAAAAUUAAUAAGUGAAAAAUUUGAAUAAAGUGUACGGAGGCCUCCUCACUUCAAUACACCAGGUAUUUACGAAACAACCAAUAUUAAUUUAUGGAAAAUUCACAGGCAACUACUUCGCAAAAAUAAAUGGGACAGGAUAAUAAAUAAAUUUGUAAUUACUUGAUUUAAAUUUUGUUUAUUUUUUGGAAAUUCUAUUUAUUUGAUCUAUUAUGUAUAUUAAAUUGCAAACAUGAUUACAAU